UUGCCCUCAUUUUCGGGAUCAUGGCAAUAAUUUCUACUAGAACUGAAUACUUUGGGUUAUGUACCUUUAAAAUUGGGACAAAUUUUUACAGCUUUUAUGACUAAAGUACAUGUACGCUCUAAUUUUACCAGUGUUUGGAUAAUGUGAACUAUGCAUGUUUAUAACGCAAGUGUUAUUAAUCGUUUUUACACGUUUACGAAACAUUAAACUAUAGGUCUCCCUUCUCAAUUCUAUAUUACUAUAAUGACAAAUUUAUAGUAUAUGCACUAUAGUACUAUCACGUAAAACUGCGCAUAGUUACACGUCUGCAACCAACAUUAUAAUUUGUUUUUUAACAAUUAUAAAUGCAUAAAGAUUCUUCUUUUCAAAGGCAUCUGAUACAAUUUUAUUAGCCAUCCCUUGAAGAAAAUUAGUUGCUGCUGCACAAGCAUUAAAAUUAGGGUCACAAAAUUCGGCAUCCAGAGAAGAAUUAAUGUAAUCUUUUAGAACAAUCAAGUUUUAACAUAGAAGACAAGGUAACUGAAACAUCCUGAUCCCUAGUCUCCAUAUGUUUCCUCCGUAGAUUUACACAUUCACGCAACCCCUCAAAAUAAUUGUUCUGUUCGAAUGACAAUGUAUCAGUCAUAGAUUCAGUAACUUUAAGUAAUAACUCAUCAGGUUCAUCUUUGUUGGAUGCAUUAUAAUCAGUACAACUUUUGCUCCACAUCUUAUUAGAUUUUUGAUUAUCUGAUCUAAAAUUGACUAAAUGUUAUUUCUAAUUUACUUAAAAUUAUUCAGUUCUUUCAAAUAUGCUUAGAAAAACUAUCAGCUUGCGGCUAUGUAUUGUAUUGUUAAAUAAAACAAAAUAAUCUUAAUUCAUUAACAACUAUGCGACGACUUAGAUUUAAAAAUCAUAACUUACAAUAUUAUCUUAGUAAUUACACUUUGUAAACUCGUAGAAGAAUUAAUAACUUCUGGAAAAAAAAAAUCACAUUCAAUAUCACUGCUUAAAACCGAAUUCAUAUCAAUAAAAUCAUUUAUAUUAAAUAAAUUUUCAUCAUCAUUUCCUUCCAUUAUUAAAACACAAAUGUCAUAUAAGUAAUAAACACUGGAUAUAAUUUAUAAUUAAUACACCUUAUAAACAAUAUGUUACUUCAGUUACAGUUACUUGAAUUAUAAUUUAAAUAAAAAAAUGAGAAAUCUCAGAUAAAUAAUAACAUGCAUACUUUAAAUUAAUCAUAAUUUAUCUUUACUUAUAAGUUGAGGGUAUAUUGAGUAGUUUGAAUAAAUAUGUUCAUGAUUUACGGAUGAUUAAAAAAAGGCGGUGGUGAUCGAGCCACUCAGGGAAGGUCAACGGUACUUCGCGGUCAUAAAGACCGCGAUGGCUGCCGUUGAACUCAAAGCUCUGGGUGUCCAGUUGGCUGGGACCAGGAGGAGCCGAACGGGAGCCGUCCUUUUGGAGGUCCGGGGAUCGGGCGCCCAGGCUGACAGCCUGGGCGAACUGCGCGCUCAGCGCAGUUACCGCCUGUAUCCAGUAGGAGGGGAGUAGACNCCG